UGAUUCUAAAAAUACUUGAGGGAAGAGGAGAUUGUUGUAUUGCAACAGGCCUGGCUUAUUACAUGACUCGGUUAGGAAACAGAAUCGGCCCUACCUACUAAUUGCAACACUUAAACAAAUAACAGAGGCAAGUUCAGUUUUAUUUAUAUUGCCUAAGGCUUGCCUAAGUGUUUAUGUGAGACCUUAGAAGCAUGGUAUCUAUUACCGAUCAUGAAUGUAGCCACAACUUAAAAUAGAUGAUUUGAAACCUUGCAAGCAUGUUUGCUAAAUCGUGUUAACCAGUUACUUAAGCGCUCGUUCAAAUAGACUGG
rnacentral:lncRNA from 1 species